rnacentral:rRNA from 1 species
AUACGGAGGGUGCAAGCGUUAAUCGGAAUUACUGGGCGUAAAGCGCGCGUAGGCGGCUGAUUAAGUCGGAUGUGAAAUCCCUGGGCUCAACCUAGGAACUGCAUCCGAUACUGGUCAGCUAGAGUUUUGGAGAGGUAAGUGGAAUUUCCGGUGUAGCGGUGAAGUGCAUAGAGAUCGGAAGGAACACCAGUGGCGAAGGCGACUUACUGGCCAAAAACUGACGCUGAGGUGCGAAAGCGUGGGUAGCGAACAGGAUUAGAUACCCUAGUAGUCC